UCCAGUGUGAAAAACUCGAUUUUGAAAAUGGCGAACAGUGGCUCUCAAAUUUAUGAAAGUUUCCAUGUGUUUAACUGGACCGAGUGCCUGCGUGAGUUCGGAAGUUUGCCGCUCCUUCCGAAUGCUUCAAACAUGUCGUUGGUCCACCGAAAAACGAGUUCAAAAUCGGUAUGAAGCUAGAGACACUGGAACUUCGGCUUCGGUUGGAUGGCAGUGACAAUAUGAUUUCUGAAGACUUGCCGAUUCGAGAUCCCACGUUAUUAGUUGCUUUUUAUUUUCAGCCAUUAAAAUUCUAUGCUAAUUUUCUGAAAUAAAUGUUUUAUUUUUCA